rnacentral:lncRNA from 1 species
GAAAAUUUCUUCCUCGUUCCUGAUGAGUCCUCCAGAAGCAACACUAUCUAGACUCUGCUGGUGGCUCUCCACCCCCUCUCACGCCCUCCCCACCGAGUGACCUAGCUCCUUGGCGAGUCUGGGAUAAGGCACUUGGCAACGGUAGCCCAGAGCCUUCCUCCCCGCUCUCCCCUGGGACUGAGCUGCCCACGGGGAGCCAGCUUCUGCUUGGUUCUUCCAGUCCCUGCCAUGGCCCAAAGCUGCCUACACCAGCUGGGGGAGCCUGCCUAUUCCGGGUGCGACAUAAGGCAGCCCACUUCUCUGAGGACCGAGCCACGUUCUCCCAGAGCAGCUUUAUCUUUAGUAAAGGCAGAAAACAUUAGGACAGACACACAGAGAAGGAAGACCACGCGAAGACACAAAGAGAAGACAGCCACCUGCAAGCCAAGGAGAGAGGCCACAGAAGAAACUAACCCUGCCAGCACCUGGCUCUUGGACUUCCAGCUUCUGCAAUUGUGAGAACAUAAAUUUCUGUCUUUUAAACCACCCAAUCUGUGGUCCUUUAUUAUGGCAGCCCAAGCAAACCAGUAUACUCCUGGUACUUUCCUUCAUAGCAUGAAUCACAGAGGUAGCGACAUGUUAUCGUGUAAUUUUUUUGUGUGCCUGUAACUGUCACCUGUGCUGUCGUACAGGAACCACAGCAUCUUCUCCACAGCUCCAUCCCCAGGACAGUGCUUGGCACAGAGUAGGUGCUCAAGAAAUUAUUUGCAUGAGUGAAUGAACAAAUGAGCCUCGUCUCAGGCGACAAAGCAAGGGGAGACGUGGGAGGUGGACGCAACGCAGACGCCCUCUAUGACGCCUCUUGCCGCAUUGACAUUUCCCUCGUCCCUAACAACCCUCUGAUGUGGAGCUGUUCGAAUGCAAGAAUUGCCAUUUGAUUUACUCCCAAGUGACAUCAUAGCCAUCACCAUGGCAACACCCAGCGAUGCCUGUCUGCCAGACAAAGUCUCUGCCGUCAGGAAAGGGCAAAUGGACACCCAGGAUGCGAAGGAGUCAUUGGCGAGGCACAAGCGUCAGCCCUCACAGCCCUACAUUGGCAGCCAGGGCCUGAGGGACCUUGAGCAAGGAGCAGAUCUGGAGGGAGCAAGAGGUUUGCCCUUCGUUGCCUUGUUUCCUGAUUGCUCCCCUUCCCAGGAGCCUGGUCUGAGUAGAUGCUCCAAAAGGCAUCAAUUCUCUCCCUCACCUAAAAAGGCAACAUGGAAAUAAAUCAGGAUCUGGACCAAUGUACCAGGAAAGACACCAGCAGGAGCCGUCAAGGAGGACUCUCCGGGUUGGCUCCUGAAGGAUGAGGCAGCGCUGCUGGCACUGGGAGGAGGAGACGGCAUUCCAGGCAGAGAGUCCGCCUGGGGAUAAAAGUCACCCUAUGUUCCAGAAGCUGGAAAGGAGCCUGGGGAGGGGAUGGAACCGCAAUGAGUGAGCCCUGCAUUUCAGGCCGGAGGAAGGAAGACACAGAGAACCACCAUGUAGUCCAUGGAAAGAGUGAUCGCACUUGGAGUUUUGCAUGGGAACUCUGCCAGCCAUUGUGAGGUGGAUGACAGAUGGGAAAGAGCAGAGGCCGAGAGUCCAGUUAGCGGCGCUUGGAGCUGUGUGAAAGAGAUGAAGAUGCCCGAACCAAGGUGGUGGCAGUGGGGGAGGGAGAUGGGGGACAGCUUUGGAAAAUAGUUUCAAAACACUUACUGAGCACUUUUUCCACCACCUCUGAUCUCUCCACGUCCACUUGGAGCCUCCCCUCCAAACCAUCACUCCGCAGCUAGGUCAUCACUUCAGAAUGGAUCUGAUCACAUCACCCCUGCCUUAAAGCUUUCUGAUGACUUCUUACUGACCUUGAGAUUAAAGCCAGAUUCCUUCGCGUGAUCUGCAAGGGCCUGCGGGAUCUGUGCCUCUCCUGCUCCAUCCAUCACCACCACACAGCCUUUGCACAUGCUGUUCCCUCUGCCUCUGCUUUUCCUUCUUCUCCUCUAGUUAACACCUACUCAUGCAGAUCUCAACUCAAGUAGACUUCUCGACCUCCCUCAGUAGGUCAAAUUCCCUAUGUCAGACAAGCACCACGGAGUUCUCUUGGUGGCAUUUGUCGCAGCUAUUCUCGUACAUUAAUUAGUAGCUUCCUCUUCCACUAAAAUCUAAGCUCCUUGAGGUCAGCUCUGUGUGUGUUUUCACCUUCUCUGUGCGUCUCCAGAGCUUGGCACACAGGGGUGCUCAAUAAACAUUGGUUGAAUGAAUGAGUGAGUGAGUGAGCGUGCACCAUCACCAGGCACGGCGCUAGGCACUUCGAGAGACGUCAACAGGCAGGGACUUUUCAGGAGUGGAGGACCAGCCCCUAGGAGGAAGAUGUCCUUCUGAACCCCUGUCCCUGCCUCCCACUGGCUUCUCUCCAGCACCAGAGCAUCUCAGAGGCCGGCAUCCCCUUGGCAACAUUGCCACCAGCCUGGCAUGAUCUGAUGCUUAUCUGGACUGUGCCGGCUGGGCCCAGCCUCCGAGGAGCUAAGGUGGACACCAUGGCAACGGCCUAGCUACUGGGAGGCCCUGGGCUGCUCCUGGGGAUGUCAAAUCAGUCUUCUUCAUUCUCUGGGGGCUGAGCCCGGGGUCCAACCUCAGAAGGACAAAGUCUUUGAGGGAGAAAAAGCAUCUUCAAACUUGCUUGGAAUGUAUUGUUGCAAUCAAUUGCCUCUGAGAGCCCAGGGGAACCAUCAGUCAAUUCGUUCUGUGGAUAGGCCGGUCCGCGUGUCUACAGUGACUGUCACCACACCACAGGAGCGAGUCUCCUCGGUGGGGAGGAGGAGUCACAGUUAAAGUAGGUCGUGGAAAGCUCCCGUGCAGGAGAGCUGCAUGGGGGAGACGCGGUGUGGUGCCAAGGAGACAGGCAGAUGUCCUGGGUUCAAAUCUUGGCUCUGCCUUCUAAUUCCCUCACCUCGCUGAGUGCCAGUGUCCUCAUUUACAAAAUGGGGAUCGUAACAAAGACUUAUCUUGCAGGGCUGUUGUGAGGACCAGAUCUGUUGAAAAAUGAAAAUUCCCUGGAAUGUAGAGAGUGUGCACUAAAUCACAGCUGGUUACAUUAGCAUCAGUGUGGAAAUGUAACAGUUAAGAUGUGUGAUGUGUUCUUAUGUGGAUACUUAGUAGAUUGGUUUGGCAGCUGUUGAGAGUAACCUGCCAAGGUCCUGGUGCUGCUACAAGGGCUGAGACCAAGGUGGGGGCGGGGACAGCUCAGCCCGUGCCAGGCACGAUGCCCAACCCUCAGCCUGCCUGAUCUCAUCUGUCUUCACGACCACCUGCAAGGCAGGCAUCAUUGUCCCCCCUUUUAGAAGAGGAUUUCCAGAUCCAGCGAGCUCAAGUAACUUGCCCAAGCUCCAUCAGGGAAUGAGAUCAGAGAUUCUCACAAAUAAAACUGAGAAGAUACAGCAGCAGCAGCUAGUACACAUGCCACACAAGAUCACCGUGGGCCGUCUUUGGCCACAAGUCCCAGCCUAUCCCCCAACCCCUUCCCACCACAAACAGAAAUGCUCCUUGCUAAGGAGGAAGACUGUGUGACUGCAUUUGCCUGGACCAUGUUCCUGGGUCCCUGAGAACCUGCGGAACGUGGGCUGGUCCCUUGAUUCCAUGGCAGGGAUUUAGGAAGUGGAGCGGAUAAGCGCUCACCUUGGGGGUGUCUGGGCAGGCAGGAGCUAAGCAGGUGAACGGUUCUUAAGCACCAGCCCCCCUUUUUCCACCUUGAAAAGAAGGCCCAGCACUGGCCAGAAACUUCCCGCCAGAAGCAUUUAAGGUCCUGCUUUUUGCCCGUGUUAACGCUUGUCAUUGAAUGUCUGCAGAAGGGAGGAACAGAGAACAAGCUGUGGGAGACGAUGCUGUUCGCGCAUUUUCCCAGCGCUAAGUCAGAUUGUUUCCUGAAGGCCCUCUGCCUCUAUCAGAGCCAACUUUAAAGGGCCGUGCUGAGCCCGACUCCCCGUUGGAGAAUGCAAGACUGGCAGAAAUGCAGCUGUGCUUACUAAAUCCAAACGCCAUUUUAUUACGCCGAGGGCAAAGGGCCCUAACGAAGGUGAGCAACCAUCAGCAAACGUCAUUAACAUGAAUGCACGGAACCCACAGACGUGGGGCUCCACUGACUGGGUGGGACCUCAGAACUUCACAAAGUUCCUUCUUUUAAGUGUUUCUGGAAGUCGUGGGGGAGGGGAUUGUCUUACACACGCUUCCAGACAAGUUCAUGCUAGGCAAUCUUGGAGUUGCCUGCCCAGGGCUGGGUGCAGUUUUUGUGGGUGCUCCCACUGCUGCCUAUAUAGGGUGCAAUAGUCCAGUGCUCCUCUAGUCAAAGCCUCAAGAUUCCCAAACAGCCUCUUUUCCCCCUCUGCCCUUACUGUGUUGGAGCCAUGCUGGGGUCCAUGCAGAAUGGGGAGAGUUUGUUCAUGCAAUGACUGUCUAUGGAGCAUCUGCUAUGUGCUAAGUUCUGGAGAUGCGCUGGGGACUAAAUGCAACAUGGUAUUUGUUCUUUACGGAGUUUGUGGUCUAGUGGGGGACAGAGAUGGUAAAUAAACAAAUGAACAGAGAAAUUAAAAAUUGUGAGAAGAGCUGCUAAGGAAAUCAACAGGAUGCUUUCAAUUAUAUAAACUAAGAGGAGGGUGGACCUUGGCAUGAGGCAGUCAGGGAGGACCUCUCUGAGGAGGUGACCUGAAUGCUGAGACCUAAGAGCCUUCCUGCCAAAAGCAAGGGACAGAGCAUUCCAGGUGGCAGGAACAGUGUGGGGGCGGUGCGGAGGGCUGGGCCGGAGGAACCGGGAAGAGGGUAAAUUUCUGGAACCCAGGUCGGAGAGAGAGAGGUGGGAUGUGAGGUCGGAGACGGAGGCUGGGCGGGUCAUUCAAGAGCAAGGUGAGGAGUUUGGAUUUUAUUUUGAGUGUGAUGUAAUCCCCAAAGGAUUUUAAGCAAAGCAGGGAUGUGAUUUAAUCUAUGCUUUAAAAAUGUCGCUCUCUAGGGUGAAGCAGGAGGGGAGGCCGGGAGAGCAGAGAGAGGAG